AUUGAACGCUGGCGGCAGGCCUAACACAUGCAAGUCGAACGGUAACAGGAAGACGCUUGCUUCUUUGCUGACGAGUGGCGGACGGGUGAGUAAUGUCUGGGAAACUGCCUGAUGGAGGGGGAUAACUACUGGAAACGGUAGCUAAUACCGCAUAACGUCGCAAGACCAAAGAGGGGGACCUUCGGGCCUCUUGCCCUCGGAUGUGCCCAGAUGGGAUUAGCUAGUAGGUGGGGUAACGGCUCACCUAGUCGACGAUCCCUAGCUGGUCUGAGAGGAUGACCAGCCACACUGGAACUGAGACACGGUCCAGACUCCUACGGGAGGCAGCAGUGGGGAAUAUUGCACAAUGGGCGCAAGCCUGAUGCAGCCAUGCCGCGUGUAUGAAGAAGGCCUUCGGGUUGUAAAGUACUUUCAGCGGGGAGGAAGGGAGUAAAGUUAAUACCUUUGCUCAUUGACGUUACCCGCAGAAGAAGCACCGGCUAACUCCGUG
rnacentral:rRNA from 1 species